rnacentral:rRNA from 1 species
UGGGGAAUAUUGGACAAUGGGCGCAAGCCUGAUCCAGCCAUGCCGCGUGUGUGAAGAAGGCCUUUUGGUUGUAAAGCACUUUAAGCGAGGAGGAGGCUACUUGGAUUAAUACUCUAGGAUAGUGGACGUUACUCGCAGAAUAAGCACCGGCUAACUCUGUGCCAGCAGCCGCGGUAAUACAGAGGGUGCGAGCGUUAAUCGGAUUUACUGGGCGUAAAGCGUGCGUAGGCGGCUUUUUAAGUCGGAUGUGAAAUCCCUGAGCUUAACUUAGGAAUUGCAUUCGAUACUGGGAAGCUAGAGUAUGGGAGAGGAUGGUAGAAUUCCAGGUGUAGCGGUGAAAUGCGUAGAGAUCUGGAGGAAUACCGAUGGCGAAGGCAGCCAUCUGGCCUAAUACUGACGCUGAGGUACGAAAGCAUGGGGAGCAAACAGGAUUAGAUACCCUGGUAGUCCAUGCCGUAAACGAUGUCUACUAGCCGUUGGGGCCUUUGAGGCUUUAGUGGCGCAGCUAACGCG